rnacentral:lncRNA from 1 species
UCCUCUUAAAUCAAGAAGUGUGGAGACACUGUAUGGCAUACAGGUGAGAUGUAGGAGUACAUCAUCACUGAACAGUGACUCACCUGCGUAGCACUCCACUGUCGGGAGUUAUUUCGCAAAGCGUAUGGGCAUAAGUACCCCUUAGACCUGAGACUGUCACGGUGACUUGCAAGCAACUCACUGUACUUAGGCACUGGAUGACCUGAAUUUCUAAUUCAGGGAUCGGAAGGAUGCUGGGUGCAGUCAAGUACUCGCGAAGUCUGUGUACGAGUCAAGAUGGGAUUGACCGCUCCAGAUUAUAGGAGUUGAUGUCUCGCUGUAUUUCAAUUCGGUAAAACCUUGACCAGGGUAAACCAAGUGAUGGUCACUUGAUUUGAUUAACUGAAAUACACUAUGGAUGACCGGACCUAGAGUUCGACAGUCCACUCUGAGGUCAUCUUGAGCAUCGAUGGUCAUAGGGAUGAAUUAUGCAAUAACCAUACGUUUAGGUUCUUGAAUGUUGCUUUGCAUAUUCGACCUAUCCGGACGUCGGGUAUCAUUGCUAGAUGGUCACCUCGAUUAGUGCAUGGAGUAGUCCAUGUACUACCGGCUUAGUAUUCGAACCUAUCGGAGUCACGCACAUUAGUCAAACUAAGUAGGAAGGUCUUGACCCAAUUUAAUUAAGAAUUAAAUUAUGGGUCAUUUGGAAUUUAGUUCUGUCUAUGUUCCGCUAGCACUGAACAUGAGGUACAUGCUAGAUUUCAUGGAUGAACAACUAAUUAAGUCCGUAUUUCGGGUCAAUCAAGUUUCAAAUAAUGUAAUGGAACUUGAUCAGGACUCAAUUGUUGAGAUUGGAUUUGAUUGGGUCUAAAUUAGUGUAAUUGGGCUCGAUCAUGAUUUAAGUGGGAUUUAAUUUCGUAUUUGUUCUGAUCUAAGUCGGAUUUGGAUCGAGCCAAAACUAGACCCAAUUGAAUUCCCCAUGAGUCGGACUCAUGUGGAAUUUUUUCCGAGUCAAAAAUCAUUUAAAUCGGCUGUCAAUUUGGAUUAGAACCAAAUAGGCUUGCUUUAUUACAAAAUGGGCUAACCCAUUUCCUAUUUGGCUAAACCCAUUUCAAUGGUUAACGGCUGACUUGGUUUUUAAAUCCCAUGGACCCGUGGACCACUUUCCCUCAUGGACCCUUAACACUUUUCUUU